rnacentral:tRNA from 1 species
GGAAAGAAAGCACGCAGUAUACUCGCUCGGUCUGAUUGGGGUCUUAUAUGUGUACAUGUUAAUG